rnacentral:rRNA from 1 species
UGGGGAAUUUGGACAAUGGGCGAAAGCCUGAUCCAGCAAUGCCGCGUGUGUGAAGAAGGCCUUCGGGUUGUAAAGCACUUUUGUCCGGGAAAGAAAUCCUUGGCUCUAAUACAGUCGGGGGAUGACGGUACCGGAAGAAUAAGCACCGGCUAACUACGUGCCAGCAGCCGCGGUAAUACGUAGGGUGCAAGCGUUAAUCGGAAUUACUGGGCGUAAAGCGUGCGCAGGCGGUUUGCUAAGACCGAUGUGAAAUCCCCGGGCUCAACCUGGGAACUGCAUUGGUGACUGGCAGGCUAGAGUAUGGCAGAGGGGGGUAGAAUUCCACGUGUAGCAGUGAAAUGCGUAGAGAUGUGGAGGAAUACCGAUGGCGAAGGCAGCCCCCUGGGCCAAUACUGACGCUCAUGCACGAAAAGCGUGGGGGAGCAAAACAGGAUUAGAUACCCCUGGUAGUCCACGCCCUAAAACGAUGUCAACUAGUUGUUGGGGAUUCAUUUCCUUAGUAACGUAGCUAACGCGUGAAGUUGACCGCCUGGGGAGUACGGUCGCAAGAUUAAAACUCAAAUGAUUGACGGGG